GCGGCCCGCCGGGGACCUCAAACUCUUGUAUUCCAGCAUCUUCUGAAUACGCCGCAAGGCAAAACAAAUGAAUCAAAACUUUCAACAACGGAUCUCUUGGCUCUGGCAUCGAUGAAGAACGCAGCGAAACGCGAUAAGUAAUGUGAAUUGCAGAAUCCAGUGAAUCAUCGAAUCUUUGAACGCACAUUGCGCCCGCCAGCAUUCUGGCGGGCAUGCCUGUUCGAGCGUCAUUUCAACCCUCGACCUCCCCUUGGGGAGGUCGGCGUUGGGGACCGGCAGCACACCGCCGGCCCUGAAAUGGAGUGGCGGCCCGUCCGCGGCGACCUCUGCGCAGUAAUACAGCUCGCACCGGAACCCCGACGCGGCCACGCCGUAAAACACCCAACUUCUGAACGUUGACCUCGAAUCAGGUAGGACUACCCGCUGAACUUAAGCAUAU
rnacentral:rRNA from 1 species